rnacentral:rRNA from 1 species
CAGUCGCCGCGGUAAGACAGAGGGUGCGAGCGUUAAUCGGAUUUACUGGGCGUAAAGCGUGCGUAGGCGGCUUUUUAAGUCGGAUGUGAAAUCCCUGAGCUUAACUUAGGAAUUGCAUUCGAUACUGGGAAGCUAGAGUAUGGGAGAGGAUGGUAGAAUUCCAGGUGUAGCGGUGAAAUGCGUAGAGAUCUGGAGGAAUACCGAUGGCGAAGGCAGCCAUCUGGCCUAAUACUGACGCUGAGGUACGAAAGCAUGGGGAGCAAACAGGAUUAGAUACCCGAGUAGUCCCUGUCUCUUAUAC